GAUGAACGCUAGCGGCAGGCUUAACACAUGCAAGUCGAGGGCAGCAUGACGAAACCUUCGGUUUCUGCUUUAGUGGCGAACGGGUGAGUAACGCGUGAGAAACCUGCCUCUCAGUGGGGACAACAGUUGGAAACGACUGCUAAUACCGCAUAACACUUUAGUACCGCAUGGUACAGAAGUCAAAGCUUAAUGUGCUGAGAGAUGGUCUCGCGUCUGAUUAGCUAGUUGUGGGGUAACGGCCCACCAAGGCGACGAUCAGUAGCCGGUCUGAGAGGAUGAACGGCCACAUUGGGACUGAGAUACGGCCCAGACUCCUACGGGAGGCAGCAGUGGGGAAUAUUGGGCAAUGGGGGAAACCCUGACCCAGCAACGCCGCGUGAAGGAAGAAGGUCUUCGGAUCGUAAACUUCUAUCCUUGGUGAAGAUAAUGACGGUAGCCAAGAAGGAAGCCCCGGCUAACUACGUG
rnacentral:rRNA from 1 species